rnacentral:rRNA from 1 species
AGAGUUUGAUCCUGGCUCAGGACGAACGCUGGCGGCGUGCUUAACACAUGCAAGUCGAACGGUAAGGCCCCAGCUUGCUGGGGUACACGAGUGGCGAACGGGUGAGUAACACGUGGGUGACCUGCCCCGCACUUCGGGAUAAGCCUGGGAAACUGGGUCUAAUACCGGAUAGGACCGCACCGUGAGGGUGUGGUGGAAAGUUUUUCGGUGUGGGAUGGGCCCGCGGCCUAUCAGCUUGUUGGUGGGGUAAUGGCCUACCAAGGCGGCGACGGGUAGCCGGCCUGAGAGGGUGGACGGCCACAUUGGGACUGAGACACGGCCCAGACUCCUACGGGAGGCAGCAGUGGGGAAUAUUGCACAAUGGGCGGAAGCCUGAUGCAGCGACGCCGCGUGGGGGAUGACGGCCUUCGGGUUGUAAACUCCUUUCACCAUCGACGAAGGUUUUCUGACGGUAGAUGGAGAAGAAGCACCGGCUAACUACGUGCCAGCAGCCGCGGUAAUACGUAGGGUGCGAGCGUUGUCCGGAAUUACUGGGCGUAAAGAGCUCGUAGGUGGUUUGUCGCGUCGUCUGUGAAAUUCCGGGGCUUAACUCCGGGCGUGCAGGCGAUACGGGCAUAACUUGAGUACUGUAGGGGAGACUGGAAUUCCUGGUGUAGCGGUGAAAUGCGCAGAUAUCAGGAGGAACACCGGUGGCGAAGGCGGGUCUCUGGGCAGUAACUGACGCUGAGGAGCGAAAGCAUGGGUAGCGAACAGGAUUAGAUACCCUGGUAGUCCAUGCCGUAAACGGUGGGCGCUAGGUGUAGGGGUCUUCCACGACUUCUGUGCCGUAGCUAACGCAUUAAGCGCCCCGCCUGGGGAGUACGGGCCGCAAGGCUAAACUCAAAGG